rnacentral:rRNA from 1 species
UACGUAUGGAGCGAGCGUUAUCCGGAAUCACUGGGUGUAAAGGGUGCGUAGGUGGCAGGGCAAGUCAGAUGUGAAAGGCCGGGGCUCAACCCCGGAGCGGCAUUUGAAACUGUCCUGCUGGAGACCGGGAGGGGCAGGCGGAAUUCCUAGUGUAGCGGUGAAAUGCGUAGAUAUUAGGAAGAACACCGGUGGCGAAGGCGGCCUGCUGGACCGGAUCUGACACUGAGGCACGAAAGCGUGGGGAG